ACUGCAUUGUUGUGAAAAUUGUGAAUGUUUAAUUUAGUCUUUUUACAUGAUUAUAGGUUUCCUUGAAGUUUCUUGACUGGUGACAUUGUUAUCUAGAUAUGGUCACAUGAAGGCUGAAUUUGAGUUAUUAUAAAGAAGAUAUAUUGGCUCUGAUAGUGAUAAACGGCUAAUACUCAUUUUGUCUACACCUCUUCUUGCCAGAUCUAAAUAGACCUCGCUUUUAUUAUUGUUCCAAUUACAUUGGACAGCUGAUAGAUUUGAAUCUUGACGAGUAGGAAAGUUGGCCAUGGCAACGUGCUAUGCCUUAAUCUGUAUGUAAUCUCCUUAAUGUGUCAAUGGUGAACAUGGAAGAAAGUCUGUUAGCUAUGUCCAAAUAAGGUUCCUCGAAGAUCUGUUUUCAUCAAUCUGAGCUGUAUCCCUUUCAAUUUGAUUUGAACUAUCAAAUUUGGAUAUCAAUUCUCUUCAGCUCAUAGGGGCAGACAAGAUGUGCUUAUCCUUAAUCUUUGGAGAAGCGAAGGUACUUAUCUUAGUAUUUAGAAUUUUUCCUAAAACUAUAAUUUGUUGUCCAUUAACAAGAUGUACUUAUCCUUUAUCUUUGGAGAAGAGAAGGUACUUAUCUUAGUAUUUAGAAUUUUUCCUAAAGCUAUAAUUUGUUGUCCAUUAAAGUAUUCUUUUCCCAUUCUUUUCCCUGUGUUGGAGAGGACCCAUACACUUAGCCUCCUCACUAAGCAUCUUGGUGGUGGUUGCCGUUACAGCAGCCUCCAUUAUCUGUUGCUAAUACCUGUUGGCUGAUUGGCAAAUAACUCCUAAUGUGAUAUCAUUAUUUAUAUGCAUUGUUAUACAUAUGUCAUGCAUUGGUAAGUUUUUGACUGGAUUUUGAUGAAGUUCUUUUUGGUGGUUUGUUUUACAGAAAAAAAAUAUGAUGAUGGUAUUAAAGAAUGCACAAAAGCAUUGGAGCUAAACCUUAACUACAUAAGUGUUUUGCUAAGAAGAGCAGAGGUGUAUGAAAAGUUGUAACAAUUUGAAGAGACUAUAGCAGAUAUGACAAAGGUUUUGGAAGUUGACCCAUCAUAUGAUCAAGCUAGAAGACAGAUUGUUCGCUUGAAGCCAUUAGCAGAUGAAAAACGUCAAAAGAUGAAGGAAGAAAUGAUUGUUGACCAUUGGUGGUAUGAACUUCUUUGGGUAGUUGCUGUUAAAUGAUUCUUUUUUGCUCUUCACGUGUAAAUAUAGGAAUGCUUCAUUUUUGCAAAAGAAAAUGUGUUCUAGGGGAGAAGAGUGGAGGAGGAGGAGAGGAUCUGGAAUUUUUGCAAAAGUAAAAGGAGCUAGUGUGAGCUGAGGUGGCUAGUGCAUUCGGAAGAUUCUGGAGGAAGGGGAAGGUUAAUGUGAGCAGAUAAAGCUUUGCUUCAGGUGCUGCUAAAGAAUAGAUGCUUGUGGAAGUGGACAAACGAUUACUGAGAUUAGCACAAGGAUGGUUUAAGGGAAAUGUAAGCUGAGGGAAAUUGGAAAUUGCAAUUCUGGUCAAUUUGGAAUGAGCGCUGACAAUUUCAAAGCUGUGAAAGAUCCAAACACUGGUUCAUAUUCUAUUCCAUUUCAGUGCUAAUAUCUUUUACAAACUUCACAUAUAUUCUUUAGUUUCUGGAGCUAUGGAUCAAAUGGACUGAAAUCUUAAAGAGGAUGAAGCACGUUUCCUCACAGUGUUGAUCUCAGUCGUAUGAUUAUGUUUUUACAUAUAACUUGAGAAAAAGAAAUUGAUGUGGUUUUUUGCCAUAAUAUGUUAUAAACAGACUUAAAGUUUCACUUUACUGGAAGUUUCUUAUAGUUGCUUUAGUACUUUCCAUUUCUUCGUGGUGUUGUCCAUGGUUUUGAUACUGUUUUGGAGGGCAUCUGAAGGUGCAGCAUAAUUUAUGCUAUCAACGUCUUUGUCAUGAUCUGUUCGGAGAGUAGCAUAGAAAUGUAGAACCUUGCACGCAAACAGGGAGAGAGUCCACCUCCUCUUCCCACCCAUCCCAAAAAAGGGUAAAUUCUGACUAGAUAUCAUAUCAUAGCCACACUAAAAGUGUGUAAGCUCGGAUGAACACUGAAAUGGUCUGGUUACUCCGUAAUUUUCAUGAACUCUGGGGGUGUUUGUUGGUUGCAUGAUUUUUGGGCGGCUUGGGGAUAUGUGGGCGCAGACAGCCUCAUUGAAUCGGGUGCACACUCCUUCCUUUGCCUUCUCUCUCUCUUCCUUGCUCUUAAUUUCAAUCCUUGCUCUCUUCUAAUUACCACUUUCUUUCCUGCUCUUCUAAUUACCGGACCAAUUUCUCCCCUUCGCUUGCUUACACCUUGCAGCACAACUCAGGAAUCAAGUUAAUUCUUGAAAAAUUGAAACUUGCGGAAGAAAGGCAAAUGGAAGGAAGGGACUCACUUUGGUAUCUCUGAACAGGUGGUUGACUACAAGGUCUCUUUCUGCAUGAUUAAAAUACAUACAAAUACCAAUAAACUCUUGACAAUGGAAAGACGUAACUGACGAGAGGUACUGAGGGAGAGGUUGGAAAGAGGAAGCUCUAUUGAAUAUUCCACCCAAUUUGUAGAUUGUAAGUGCCAUGUGGCAGCCCCAGGCUCGAGUUGAUUAUGUUGGUGUCACUGAACCUCCAUGGCCUUCCUCCUUGUGAAGCUAAUGCUAUUGAAUCUUCUCUCUUUUGGUUUUGGUCAUUGAUUUCAAUUUGAACUGUGUUUUUUAGGUAAUGUUUUGGUAUUUAUGCUUUAUUUUGUUCAAAAUGGAAACUUUGAAAUGAUCUUUGCUACAACCUAAAAUAUUUUGGGGUCGGGAUUAUCCAGGAAUUUAACCCUUUUCAUAUGAGUUCAAUUUGAGGGAAUUUAACUAUACAUUCCAUGCUUAUUGUUCAACCUGCUUUGAUGUAUACUUCAUUUAUAAUAUGGGAGAGCUGCAUUACCCAGCUAUUCCACUUUGGAUUGGGCAAGGAUGAAUGGACAGUUGAUAAAAGCCAUUUCUCCACGAGUUAUGGAAACAUAUUGAUAUGCAGCAUUACGGUAUCUAGGUACUCCUAAGAACGCUUUUCAUGUCCCAUAUGCAGUUUUGUGCUCUUGAUCUCAUUUUAUUAUGGCCCAACCUGCAAUUCUAUUUUGUUUUAAAAUUGAGUCAACAUAGUCCAGUUAUAGUGUAAAUGAGAGCCAUUUUGGGGCUGUUUUAUUACCAUUUCAAUGAGAUAGUGGAGUUAGUCUUGAGUUGGUAGGAGCUAUUGGAUAUCCUUGCCUUUCAAUGUUGGACAUUGAUUUUGUUUGUUAAGUCCGUUAAAACUUAAAACAGAGCAUCAAGCUCUCCUGCUUAUAGCAAUUCCUUACUUAUUUUAGUGCCUCUGUUUUCCAUCUUCUACAGCCUUCUAUCUUGUUUCUUUGAGGAGACUACCGAUGUAUUUCUUUCCAAGAAAACAUGCAACUCUAAACUCUCUUUCCUGCAGCAAAAGAAAAAGACAACUUAGAUAUCUAGAGAAAAGAUUAUUAUUGGGAAUUGAGAAGUUUACCACCCUCUGCUGCAAUCUCCUCUCUGAGAUAUCGGUGAAUAUCUACAUUCCUCUCUCAUCCCUCUUGAAUAUGCUGGAAUAUAGCAAACCAUUUAGGUUUUUGAUCUAUUUCAGUCAUUGUAUUUUCUCUAUGUAUUCAGUAGCUUCAGUUACUCAGUUAAAUCGGCUUUUGGUAAUAUUCAUUUGAUUGUGUAUUAGGUCCAGUAAAGAAUGCUAUUGGUGUAAGGAUGAUUAAAUCGAAAUCUUUGUGUCGCUUUCAUGUUCUUAGUAUCAUUAGUAAUAAUUUUUUGUCCUAAUAGACUUUACGAAUCCUGUUUUUCUCACUCGAUUCAGCCAUUAAUGUCCUUUUGCACUAAUUUUGAUAUUUUAGCUUGAGGUAAUUUGUGCAUCGCCUUCCUGUUCAUUUUAACUUGAUUUUGCUUAGUCCUUUAAUGAGAUAAAUAUUUCUAGCAACACUGGAGUUAGUCAAGCACGCAAGAAGUUUAUGUGAAAAGUAAACUAUUGCAACAUCUCAUUUAUUGUUACUUCCUUUUCUUGGAUAUAUUAUUUCAUGUUACUCUAUUGGUUUACUGAUUUGAACUUGAUAUUUAGUUGUAAAUCAUUUAUAGUCUUUCCUUGUGAAUCCGCUUUUACUUGAUUUCAUUUACUAGGAACAUUAACUUUGCAAGUAUGCAGGAUUCAUAAGAAGAAUUUAGCGUCAAUUAGGAUUAUACUCUGGACUUACUCUUAAGGCUUUUCCGUGUUCUCUGAGUUAGUUUAGAACUUUAUUUAGUUUCUAAGGCAUGUAAUUUUACUUCUAUAGAGUAACUUGACAUUUGUAUUUGUUUUAAUGCCACGGAUACGUGGGAAUAUCUUAAGUGGUUUUUGGUGUUUCUGAUUUCUUAUGUUACUGGCCUGCAACAGUUUGAACUUUUUUUUUUGUUUAAAUAAAUAUUAAAUUGCUUAUCUUAGUUCUUUGAUGUAUAGACGAAAUUUUAACAUUGGAUGAGUUUGUGCAAAUACUUCUUCAUUGAAGCAUUGGCUUUUGUUGAGGUUGUUUAAAAAACAAGGCUAUCGCACUACCCAAAUCUGUCCAAUUGGAAGCUCGAAUCGGUCAAGUUCUUGGCAGGAAGUAAAUUCCCGUUAACUUCACUAAAGUGUAUCUCUAGAAUUAACUUCAAUGUAACAACAGUUAAGGUUUGCUUAUGAUAUUUUGUGCAGCUAUGUACAUCGUGAUUUCGUAUUACUAAGUUUGCUUUCCUUUAUACUAUUUGUUUAUCGCAAUGAAUUUUCCUGCAUGCUUGUUGAUUAAAAUUCUCUGUUUCUGGUAAACAAAUGAACCUCCACAUGCUUUUCUUGUCCAAAUUGAGUACAUGAUACUAAUAUUCUGUAAUUUACCUUGGCUCCCUUCUGUUUAAGUAGCUGUAAUCCAUGAUGUCAUAGCUAAUGUGUUGUCCUUUCAAUGCUUCCUCCAGCCUAAAACGUUAAGACCUCAUGAACACGUGUAUAGUUGUCUUCAAAAUUGGACAAUAUAUUGGCCAUCAGGUCUGGAUGGCAUUGUACUUAGAAUAACAUAUGACGAUGUUAUUUGAAGCUUUUGAACCUUUAGUAGUGCUGGGAUACCUGUAAAACUCAUAUCAGGCUGUUUUCAGUUAUCUAAUCUUGUUAAGGCUAUCAUAUUGUCUAGAAGAUUGAGAUUUCCAUCCAAAUGUUAGGAUGAUUUUGGAAGCAGACGUGAUGUUGGAGGUUAUAUCAAAAAGCUACAAAUUUUUGUUAGGAUGAUUUUCAUGAUUACAUGACCAUAUAAAUGUAUUUUCACAAAAAUUGAUUCCGUCCCUACCCUUGACUUGAUCUUUAAUUCGUGAAACAGAGUUAAGGCUUCUGGGAUCCCUUCUGAUGAGAAAGUGAAGUUUGCAUAUGCAAUCAACAUAAGAAAGCUAGUCAAGCCACCACUACCAGCAGGAUACUGGGGAAUUCUGACCAAGGCUGAAGACCAUGUCGAUCAACCGAUAUAUAAAACAGCAGAAUUGAUCAACAAGAGCAAAUAAAUGUAUCUGAUGAAUAUGUUCGAUCAUUUAUCGAUUUUCAGGAGCUAAAUUAUCAUGAAGGGACCACAGUAGGAGCAAAGGUGAGUGGAAUUACUGAUUGGAGACACUUAGGCCAUUCCACAGUGGACUUUGGUUGGGGAGGUCCUGUUACAGUUUUUCCUCUGUCAAGAAACCUACUUGGAAGCGUUGAGCCCCGUUUCUUUUUGCCCUAUUCUUCAGCAAAUGAAGGGGAAAAGGAUGGUUGUAAACUUUCUGUGUGUUUGCAAGAACAUGCUGUUUCAGGUUUCAAAGAAGACAUGAAUAAGUUGAAGAAUUUAGAGCCUAGAUUCCUUUGAAUGAAGGGUUUCUUGUUAUCUUUGUCUAUGUUCCCGUCAAAUUGAAGAGGUUUCAACUUGGUGAAAUUGGCAAACCUUAUAAGGGUCUUUGGACAAAUGACCUUUUGCCUCAACAUUUUCAUUUGGUCCCGCAAAUAAAUGGGGAGUUGAAGGCGAACAAUUUUUAGUGUAUGUCUAGUUAUAAAAUCAAAGUCAACAGGCUAAAUACUCUCUCUGCA